ACACUGACGUCGCGACGCAUAUCAAUAAGCGGAGGAAAAGAAACUAACAAGGAUUCCCUUAGUAACGGCGAGUGAAGCGGGAAGAGCUCAAAUUUGAAAUCUUAAAGGGUUUCCCUUUACGAAUUGUAGUUUAAAGAAGUGUUUUCUGUUGGAGUUUCGGUAAAAGUUCUUUGGAAUAGGACAUCAUAGAGGGUGAGAAUCCCGUAUUUGACCGUUACUUUCCAGCUGUGUGAUACACUUUCAAAGAGUCGGAUUGUUUGGGAAUGCAGUCCAAAAUGGGUGGUAAAUUUCAUCUAAAGCUAAAUAUUGGCGAGAGACCGAUAGCGAACAAGUACCGUGAGGGAAAGAUGAAAAGAACUUUGAAAAGAGAGUUAAACAGUACGUGAAAUUGUCAAAAGGGAAGCGUUUGACACCAGUGUUGUUUAGUUGAAAAUCAAUUCAAUAGUUUUUGAUUCUAAGUAGUAUUGACCUUAUCAGCUUGCUGCUUUCUUCUCAGAAAUUAUUGAAUGCACUUUUCAGUUAACAAGUCAACAUCAAUUUCUUUUGUUGUAAAAAGGGUAUGAGGAAGGUGGCUUUCUUUUCGGAGAAAGUGUUUAUAGCCUUGUACCUCUGCAAUCGGAGAGAUUGAGGUCUGCAGCGUAGAUCCUUCGGGGUUAGAUACAUUUGUGCUAAGUUAUAGCUUUUCAUAGACAACUUGUUGACUAUGUUAAGUCUUGUAGCUUACUCGCUUAUGCUAUUUUACCUACGCUUAGGAUGUUGACACACGCGCGUGCUCG
rnacentral:rRNA from 1 species